AUGAUGGCAUGGAGAGCUAAAAAGGUAGCAAAGGAAAUUGUCCUAGGGGAUCAUAAGAAGCAGUACCAUAGGUUGUCUGAUUACAUUGAAACAGUUAAAUUAUGCAAUCCAGGAUCUAGAUGCAUUGUCACAACUGUCACUCCUAAAAGCACAAAUGAAAACCCACAUCCAGGUCCUAGGUUCCAUGGUCUUUUCUUUUGUCUCAAUGCACCUAGGGAGGGUUUUCUAAAUGGAUGUAGGCCUUUCAUUGGUUUGGAUGGAUGCUUCAUAAAGCUUACAACUGGAGCACAAAUCCUAGCAGCUACUGGUAGGGAUGCCAACAACAACAUGUAUCCCAUUGCUUUUGGAAUUGUAGGAGUGGAGGACACACCCAGUUGGAGCUGGUUUCUCACCCAACUUAAGUAUGCUCUGGGAGGCACAUAA
rnacentral:rRNA from 1 species